UCAAUUCACCCUUAGAGGUGACUUAUGACCUAACUGUCUAAUAAAAUGUGAGAAAUUAAAAUUGUGAAAUAUAUAAUUAAAUUGAAGAAGUGAGGAAAAAGAAAGGAAAAAGAAAAGAAAAUGAAAAUAAUAAAAUGACAUCAUCCUGCAUGACAUAAUGCAGACAUAAUAAAACUAUAAUUUUAAAUUUGAAAAAUUUAGAUAACUACUUAUAAAGUAACCAAUUAAAAUGAAAAAGAAAAAUUUUUGUCAUCUUCCAUUUCACCUUGCCGUCCCUUCUUCUUCCUCUCUCCUCUCUUCUCUCUCCUCUCUCUCAUUUUUCUUUUCCUUUCUUCCAUUAAAGCUCUCUUUGAGCUUUUGAACCCCUAAAAUUAACCCAAAAUUGUUUUAAUUUCUCCACCAAAAACUCUUAAGUAGACCUAGAAAAGAAGAUUGAAGAAGGAAUUGAGAAAGAAAGUGGAGAGAUUUGAAGAUUUGGAAUUCAAAGUAAAGGUUAGUGAUUUUCCUUCAAAUUCUUUUUAUUUUUAUGAGUUAGAUGCAUGAAUUAAGUUGAAAUUGAUGAACUUAUGGAAAGAAAAAUGAAAAAUCAUAUACAUCUAUAACUCCAUGAAUUUUGGCCAGCCAUGGAGGGUGUGGAAUUGAUGUGUUUUCCUCCAAUUAUUUAGGUGUGCAAGUUUAAUUCAGUAGGUAGAAGUAAUUGAUAAGCUUUAAUUUGAAUGUGUUGCACAAAUUGUAAAAUUAGGGUUCUUGACCCUUAGGGUUUUGGGGGCAAAAUUUGAAAAUUUAGUAAAUUAAUGUACUUUGACCUAAGUGAGGUUUAAAAUGGUCAAUUGGGACCAAUUGAGAUGUGUUGGAGUGAUUAGAAUUGCAAUGAAAUUCGGAUUAGUGAGGGGUCAUUACUGGACAGUCUGACCUAAGUCCCUUUCAGGGAGCCAAACUGUAAUUUUAACAUCCCAAUUGGUGUGAGGCCAAUUGGAAAUGAAAAUAGACACAUAAUGAC
rnacentral:misc_RNA from 1 species